AUGAAAGUAAAGCAUAUCCAUACAGCAUAUACAGUUUAUUAUUUUUUAAAAGAAUCUGGAGCCACAGUUAGAGUCACUUUUAGUAACCAAAUAGUCUCUAUCUCCGGGAUGGUCCACCAUUGGUUUGGCCUUUCAAGUCUCUUAUUGCUGCGUUCAAUAUUCUAUUGGUGUAAUCCGUCUGGAGCCAGAAGAACUCGAAGCCAAGUUAAAAUGAAACAUAAAAACAUUCUGCAAAAAGCUAAUAGAAAGAAGGCUGAAGCCCAUCUAACUGGCGGCGGCCCACCACCUCCCCUCACCCCAUCUGAGGAGCGGCUCUGUCCCUUAAUAAAGGGCGACUAGUGUUUGCUGGCAUUCCAGGGGGCACGUCAUCACACACACCGUGCACCACAAGUAACAUGAUGAAAUAUACUGAAAGAGGGAUUGUAUUAUUGGACCCUGCAGAAAUUACACAGUCUGUCACAGUU